rnacentral:rRNA from 1 species
CAGUCGCCGCGGUAAUACGAAGGGUGCAAGCGUUAAUCGGAAUUACUGGGCGUAAAGCGUGCGUAGGCGGUGAGUUAAGUCUGCUGUGAAAUCCCCGGGCUCAACCUGGGAAUGGCAGUGGAUACUGGCUCGCUAGAGUGUGUCAGAGGACGGUGGAAUUCCCGGUGUAGCGGUGAAAUGCGUAGAGAUCGGGAGGAACAUCAGUGGCGAAGGCGGCCAUCUGGGACAACACUGACGCUGAAGCACGAAAGCGUGGGGAGCAAACAGGAUUAGAUACCCGCGUAGUCCCUGUCUCUUAUAC